rnacentral:rRNA from 1 species
UGCAAGUCGAGCGCCCCGCAAGGGGAGCGGCGGACGGGUGAGUAACGCGUGGGAAUUUUCCUCAAGGUACGGAACAACCCAGGGAAACUUGGGCUAAUACCGUAUGAUGCAGAGAUGCCAAAGAUUUAUCGCCUUGGGAUAAGCCCGCGUCAGAUUAGGUAGUUGGUGGGGUAACGGCCUACCAAGCCUGCGAUCUGUAGCUGGUCUGAGAGGACGAUCAGCCACACUGGGACUGAGACACGGCCCAGACUCCUACGGGAGGCAGCAGUGGGGAAUCUUGCGCAAUGGGCGAAAGCCUGACGCAGCCAUGCCGCGUGAAUGAUGAAGGUCUUAGGAUUGUAAAGUUCUUUCGCCCGUGACGAUGAUGACGGUAACGGGAGAAGAAGCCCCGGCUAACUUCGUGCCAGCAGCCGCGGUAAUACGAAGGGGGCUAGCGUUGUUCGGAAUUACUGGGCGUAAAGCGCGCGUAGGCGGUUUUGCAAGCCAGAGGUGAAAUGCCUGAGCUUAACUUGGGAAUUGCCUUUGGGACUGCGAGGCUUUGAGGACGGGAGAGGUGAGUGGAAUUCCCAGUGUAGAGGUGAAAUUCGUAGAUAUUGGGAAGAACACCGGUGGCGAAGGCGGCUCACUGGCCCGUUUCUGACGCUCAAGCGCGAAAGCGUGGGGACCAAACAGGAUUAGAUACCCUGGUAGUCCACGCUGUAAACGAUGAGUGCUAGGCGUCGGCACGCUUGCGUGUCGGUG